rnacentral:misc_RNA from 1 species
AAAGUCGUAACAAGGUUUCCGUAGGUGAACCUGCGGAAGGAUCAUUACUGAGUCCAAGAGGGGGAGGCCACAGGGGUGCUGCUGGGGAUGAGUCGCUCUCUUCCCCACUUCCACACCUCCCUCUCUCACACACACAAUCUCAUUGUGAAAAGUUGGCGAAAACAACAUGCCAAAGAGCAACCGCCUUGUACCAUCGCCUGCCAAAACACACGUGUGUAUGGCCAUAGGUGGGCGAUGGUGGGGGUGGGAAAAAGCACAGCCUAGCCUGUGCUGUUGGCAUACCUUCUCUCUCUCUCUUUUGAAAUCUAUAACCUUUGCAUCAUCAUAUUGGUAUCCUUGACUGAGAAAAAAGUGGUGGUGGUGACGAAAUGUUCACUUCCACUGCGACAAAAAAAUAACAAACAUGUUACAACUUUUAACAACGGAUAUCUUGGCUCGC